rnacentral:rRNA from 1 species
CUUCGCGUGUAGCAGUGAAAUGCGUAGAUAUGCGGAGGAACACCGAUGGCGAAGGCAAUCCCCUGGGCCUGUACUGACGCUCAUGCACGAAAGCGUGGGGAGCAAACAGGAUUAGAUACCCUGGUAGUCCACGCCCUAAACGAUGUCAACUGGUUGUUGGGAGGGUUUCUUCUCAGUAACGAAGCUAACGCGUGAAGUUGACCGCCUGGGGAGUACGGCCGCAAGGUUGAAGCUCAAAGGAAUUGACGGGGACCCGCACAAGCGGUGGAUGAUGUGGUUUAAUUCGAUGCAACGCGAAAAACCUUACCUACCCUUGACAUGUCUGGAAUCCUGGAGAGAUUUGGGAGUGCUCGAAAGAGAGCCAGAACACAGGUGCUGCAUGGCCGUCGUCAGCUCGUGUCGUGAGAUGUUGGGUUAAGUCCCGCAACGAGCGCAACCCUUAUCAUUAGUUGCUACGCAAGGGCACUCUAAUGAGACUGCCGGUGACAAACCGGAGGAAGGUGGGGAUGACGUCAGGUCAUCAUGGCCCUUAUGGGUAGGGCUACACACGUCAUACAAUGGCCGGUACAGAGGGCUGCCAACCCGCGAGGGGGAGCUAAUCUCAGAAAACCGGUCGUAGUCCGGAUCGCAGUCUGCAACUCGACUGCGUGAAGUCGGAAUCGCUAGUAAUCGCGGAUCAGCUUGCCGCGGUGAAUACGUUCCCGGGUCUUGUACACACCGCCCGUCACACCAUGGGAGCGGGUUCUGCCAGAAGUAGUUAGCCUAACCGCNNNNNNNGCGAUUACCACGGCAGGGUUCGUGACUGGGGUGA